GUCAAAUCUUGAGAUGGGAUGAUUAUCCUGAAUUACCUGGUUGGGUCUGAUGGAAUCACAGGGUCCUUAGAAAACGCUGGCAAGAUGGAGGAGGAGCUGUUUAGUGAAAAAAUAAGUGGCGUCGAAGGAACGAAACUAGAUGACGAAUUUCUUGACAUGGAGAGGAAAAUAGACAUUACCAAUAAAGCUGUUGCAGAAAUUCUUUCGAAGGCCACAGAAUAUCUUCAGCCAAAUCCAGCAUACAGAGCUAAGCUAGGAAUGCUGAACACUGUGUCGAAGAUUCGAGGGCAGGUGAAGACCACCGGCUACCCCCAGACGGAAGGCUUGCUGGGCGACUGUAUGCUGAAGUACGGGAAGGAGCUAGGCGAAGGCUCCACGUUUGGCCACGCGCUGAUAGAAGUUGGGGAGUCGAUGAAGCUCAUGGCGGAGGUGAAGGACUCUCUUGAUAUUAACGUAAAGCAGACUUUUAUUGAUCCCCUUCAGUUACUACAAGACAAAGAUCUAAAAGAGAUUGGGCACCACCUGAAAAAGCUGGAAGGCCGCCGCCUGGAUUAUGAUUAUAAAAAGAAGCGAGUAGGUAAGAUACCAGAUGAAGAAGUCAGACAAGCGGUAGAAAAAUUUGAAGAGUCAAAGGAGUUGGCUGAAAGAAGCAUGUUUAAUUUUUUAGAAAAUGAUGUAGAACAAGUCAGCCAGUUGGCCGUGUUUGUAGAGGCAGCUCUGGACUACCACAGACAGUCCACCGAGAUCCUGCAGGAGUUACAGAGCAAGCUGCGGAUGCGGAUAUCAGCCGCAUCCAGUGUCCCCAGACGAGAGUAUAAGCCACGGCCCAUCAAGAGGAGUCCCAGUGAGCUCAAUGGGGUGUCCGCCGCCUCGACAGCCAAGACAACAGCCUACAGCAGACUGGAAGCAGCAGAUUAGAAAGGCCGAGGGACGGCUUCGGGAAGGUCCACUGAUGGCAGGAAAGUGACAGGUCACAGCCCGGCGACAAGGGAGGAAAGAGAAAGACUUAAAACAAACAAACAAACAAAAAACCAAAGCAGGAACAAAAAGUCAAAAGGCACAGCAGUCUGGGGCAUUUACUAAAAGACAAAGAGCCGUCCUCAGGCCAAGAGCAGACUCUGGACCCAGAUGGAGGCCACGUCUCAGCACCACUGCUGAGUUGCUUUGUACUUGUGAAUGCCUUCAUUCCUCCAUUCACCAAACUGGGGGGAGUCAUGGUACCAGAGUAAAGCCACAGAUGUCAGGAAGCCACUUAGAAUAUUGUCCUGGUACUGAGGGUUAUGAUGUCAUCCCCGUUGCUGGUGGGACCGUGGGACCGCGAGCAGGAGAGCGCUGGGCAUCUCCGUGUGAGUGAGGGGCCCUCUGCACCUGGGACUUGGGGACACAGAAGGGAGGAUGGGGAAGGGCACUCCCCAGAACUUUAGUGUUGUUAAAAUGAUAAGAGGGGACCCAGUAUUGUAAGGUACCAGGCCAUAGUAUUGCCAAGAGGGCAGGGAACAUACUUUAGGGAAACACGAGUUCCCUGUCUCUUGUGCAUUCCCGACUCAGUACGCACUCACCGCACACCCGGCCCCCUUGAAACUCCUGUGUUAUGGUCUCCUUUUUCUCUUUUUUCUCCUGAUGGUGUGGAUCAGGACUUGAAUAAUAAAUAUUU